AUUGAACGCUGGCGGCAGGCUUAACACAUGCAAGUCGAACGGUAACAGGUCUUCGGAUGCUGACGAGUGGCGAACGGGUGAGUAAUACAUCGGAACGUGCCUAGUAGUGGGGGAUAACUACUCGAAAGAGUAGCUAAUACCGCAUGAGAUCUACGGAUGAAAGCAGGGGACCUUCGGGCCUUGUGCUACUAGAGCGGCUGAUGGCAGAUUAGGUAGUUGGUGGGGUAAAGGCCUACCAAGCCUGCGAUCUGUAGCUGGUCUGAGAGGACGACCAGCCACACUGGGACUGAGACACGGCCCAGACUCCUACGGGAGGCAGCAGUGGGGAAUUUUGGACAAUGGGCGAAAGCCUGAUCCAGCAAUGCCGCGUGCAGGAUGAAGGCCCUCGGGUUGUAAACUGCUUUUGUACGGAACGAAAAGCCUGGGGCUAAUAUCCGCGGGUCAUGACGGUACCGUAAGAAUAAGCACCGGCUAACUACGUGCCAGCCGCCGCCGUAA
rnacentral:rRNA from 1 species